GUUUCUCCCGAGUUAGCGGCGUUCCAGAGGGACGCGGCCGGCCGCCGUUUCAUUGUUUCCCAACUGGUCCGACCCCGUACCGGCGCAGCCCCGCCGCGCUCCGGGCGGAGGAAGCGCGGCCGCGGAGCGCCGGGCCGAGGCGGGAGCGCCGCUCGGUAGCGGCGGGGAGCCCCGCCGACCCCUCCCCGGCCCGACCCUCCCCGCCGCCCCCGUUCGGCCGCCGAGGGGCCGUUCCGUCCCGUCUCCGCCACAGAAGCCGCGCCGUCCAACUUUUUCCCUCCCCCUUGGAAGCGCACUUCCUUUGAACGCGCUCCGUCUGCGAACAAAGGCGGCCCGGCCCGGCGCGGCCCCUCCGCACCGCCCGGCACGGCCGCCCCGCGGGUCGCGCUCCGCGCCGCUCCUACCGGGAGCGACUUUUCCGGGCACGGCCUCCUCGGCGCUGCCGCGACCGCGACUCCGUCUUUUUUGGAUACGACGUUUCUGCUGACUCCCGAAAAUUUUCCACUCGAACGUGCGACGAAGCGGCGGCGGCGGCGGCUCUGGAGAAGGAGACGCGGCGGGGAGAGCGGCAUCGCUGCCUCCAUCCCCUGAGGGGCUGCGCGCGGCCGGGGGCUGCACAGCGCGAGCCGCCAACUUCCCGCGGCGGGGUGCCGCAGUGAGGGUCUGCAACGCCCACGAGAGCUGCCCGUGCUUUGGGCCCUGGUAGGAGCGCAGCUUCCACCAACCCACCCCAGGUGAGGCACAAAGUGCUGCCGCACGGCCGGGCCCCUGCCAGGCCCUGGAGCUUCAACCCGUGCCUUAAGGGUCUCCCGUAUCGCCAGGGCCAGGCAGAGCUCCGCUGCUCAAAGGGGCAGGGCGGGAAGGCUUCGUGCACAUCCCGGCCUCAAUCGCUCCAGACGCAGAGAGGCCGCCGGUCGCAACCCCCUCCCCCAGCCCCGGGCGCCAGGUGCUGUGCUCAACCUUCUGCACCGCUCCAGCUGUGAGCCUAACUGCCGUGAGCCUGUCCGUACGCUUCCCACGUCGGCACCAGCCAUGCCCCAGAACUGCUCCCGAGCAUUAUUACAAGGCACGUCCCCUCCUGAUAACAAUCUGAUAACCUUAUGGAAAUAAUCACUGUGCUGGCACAGCUGUCGUGCCUGGGAAAACUCGUAUUUGCAUAAGCAAAAGGGAUAACUGGACACCUCCGUGCCUGUUUGUCAAAUAAAUUGCCGAUUUCGAUGUGCAAACAUACAUUUCUAUCGUUUCUAUCCACGUUGGAAAGUUUGCCCAGCAGGAAAACCACUCGUCGAGGUGGCAGGAAAACCACGCACGGCCACAGCAGCACCACGUGUGGGUGCCGUCGGGCAGCAAUAACACGCUCACGCCACAGGUGGGCCUCACAGCACGCCCUGGCAGGGGGCUGGCAGAGCUCACGGCACAUGCACUGCCUGCUGCUUGUGUGUGAUACCGCGAAAAGAUGCCCACCGCGCCUGCAAACAGCACAGACGCGCCUGCUCCGUGCCCCACCAGCAGCCGUCCCAUAGGGCAGCCGUGCUGGUAGCAGCCACCAUGUCAGCCCAUGAUUGAUCCAAGACAGACUCUUGAAAAUGAGCCACUGGCAUUGCAGCUCACAGAGAGGCUGCAGUGCUUUUAUUUUUUUACCUUUGUGCACCGGGAACAGCGCGCACUAUGGGCCGUGCGGGAAGUUGCAGUGUUCCCACUGAUGGCACUAAUGCUACCCUAUGGAAAUCUCCUUAAACCCAGCCCUAUAGGAACGGUGCACAACAAGGAAUAAUACCAAACAAAGCCGAAGUUUGGGCAGGUGUUGGCCAAAGGACUGGGAGAACGGAAGAAAGGACCUGGUUUAGGCUGGUUUUUUUCCCCUGCCAUUCCAUGGUGGCUGAAAAGCCAACUACGAGAAACCCCCUCAUCCACACAUAGAGAUGUUUUCUUCCUCUUUUUCCCUCCUCCUUUCCAUACGGCUCUAAUGCUGUUGCCUGGUAAGUGCCUCAGUGCCUCCACAACUUGUAGUUCAACCGCUGCGCAUACGUCCAUAGGAAAGCCACAGUCUCCUGAGUGUACCCAAACCAUACCAACUCUGUUCCAAAGCCGGAGCGGACAAACAAGACAAAACAUGGCUCCUUCUGAACACCACAGAUUGCUUACUGCACGUCAGCAGACUUAAACUAGAGAUAAAACUCAGCCCGCUGCGUUCACUGCGUGCACAGAAACGUGGAAGCACAUUACAGGAACAGGACAUUUUUUCCACAAGGCCUGUAGCCACAGUGCCAACAGUACUGCCUCCACCUCCUGUGCCUGUGCAGAACCCACCAGCUAUCACAGCUCUGCACACAGCAAGGGAGAAUGGCAGCUUUGGGGGAUAAUAGACAAAUAGAGCUUGAAAACGUCCUACCUUUAGCAGCUCUUGCAACGGAUGAACUUUUGCUCGAUUAUGCUCUCCUAGUGGAAAAUAAAAAUACAGUUUGUUUCUACGCCCAUGGUUGUGGAUAAACGUGAGCAGAGCUUAGCCCAGUUGUAGCUGCCCAUAUCUGCAGAUCAACAGCUCUGUAACUCUUUUGCCUUUCGGACCUCUUUCAAGAGGGAUAAUUAAGCUUGCCUGCUGCCCUGCGCAUUUUGUUGUUAGCUGUGAGCAGCCGGGACAGCUCACAGAACUCUGAUUAGUUCUGACUCAAACUCUGCACACAGGUGUUCUCAUAGGCAGAGAGGUGCUCGGGGAAGACUGAAGGUCACCCAUUCACACAGUGUAAAAGUUCAUCCGCAGUUCCCACGUGAAGGCAGAAGUCCUUGCCCUGACAGGCAACCGUACCAUUAAACUGCAAAACCCGAGGCCAAGACGGACAGCAAAGCAACGUGGGGACUAAAUCAUGGCAUUGGCUGAGCGUAAGCCUGGAGGCCACGAGCCCCAGAAAUAAACAACAGCUUCUGAGAACUGAGGCAGGGAAACUCUGACAAGCAUCUGUCUUUCUUGCAAGAGGCUCAUAUAUCCUGUGGGCUGUCAUUUCACGUCGUAUCAUACCAUAGCAGAACAACAGUCGCUUUGAAACGUACAUACCUGGAAUCCCAGCACAUUUCCAGCAGAAGAAAGUCACGUACUGCGGAGACAGAGGGCUGCGUGCUCUGACAGAAGGUGAGGAGCGAGGAGGGACGGGUCGGUGUCCUGCAGCCCCUGCCUUCGUGCCAGCAAGGGCUUCUUCAGAGGCUCUGUGGGUGAAGAAGAGGGGAUACUGGAGGCAGGUCCGCACGCAGAGCUCACUCUGAUGAGCUGCCUGCCUCUGUGCGUUGAUGAAUGGCUUCUUCAGGCACACAGGUGCGCUGGGAAUUACAAAAGCUGAAGAAAACAAAGGGACGUAGGGACAUGCCUGAACAGGGACAUUUCCUGGGGACAAAUGCUUAUCUCGGCUAGCAAAGAGAAUUACAAGCGUGGAAUACGGGAACCUAGAUUAAGACAGAGAAAGAACGAGCUCAAGAGGACACCAAUACAAAGGCUUCGAGGAAGGAGUCUGGGGAAAGAGAAGAGACAGUAAAGAGAAAGGAGAGGGAGGGAAAUAUUUGUACCUAUCGAAGGAAGGCAGGAAGAAUAAAAAGAAAGUGAAAAUAAAAGGGAUAUUAAUGGAGAAACAUGAAAAAAGGAAUAAACAGGAAAGCCCUGGGAGGGGAGGGGGAGUCUGUAGUCUGGGAGAAGAAAGUAGGAAACAGCGGCGAUCGGAGGAGAUGGCAGCAAGGAAAUGGGAGCGGCGUACAAAUGGAAGGAGUAAGGUAAGGAACGGUAGAAAAUGUGUGAUUCGAGAAUGAAAGUCUGCAGUGCCACCAAGGUUUGGAUUUGUCAGUAAGAAGUUUGAGCGCAAGUCCUGCUAAGAGCUGGGAGGAGACAAGUGUGGAUGUAUUUACAGAUGAGACGGAGGCUGGAUUGAGCCCUGCAUGUGGGAACCGCCGCUGUCUUCACCAAGACCAGCGAUAGCAGGGGGAAUUUGGGAGCCCAGCAGCAGAGCAGUGGUUCCCUUCAGUCUUUGCUAUUAGUUGUGACAGGUACAGAGCACGUAACUCACCAGUCCCAUCCCAGCCACGCUGACAGAUGAUGCUUCUAAGUCUCCAAGAGAUGAAAUGGUACCCAAGGGCAUGCAGUUAACACAACAGUUCACCUAUCCCUCGAGUGGUAUGUUGGCAGGUGAAAACAAGAUGGACUUCACAAAAAUGAGAUCCAGAGGCCAUUUUGGACUUGGACCAAACGUCCAAGUUUGACAAUGCUCGGAUACAGUAUUUUGGCUACAAGCACUGAAAUAAUUUUAAAACUUUGUGCUUGGGUUGCAGUUCAGGCUAGGAAAACUGCUAAGCUCAGGAAAUACUUAAAAGCAGCACGUAGAUUUGGGUUAAUCUAUAGCAUGUAAGGAAUUAAAUACCCAAAUCAAUGUGUUGUUGAACGUGCCAAGAAAAAUACUAUGGGGAAGCUGUAAUGUAAUGGAACAGAGCUCUCCAUAUUAUAAAUCUGGCUGCUGGGCUUUGUAAAGCACCAGACAGUGUAAAGAAUGAAAACAAAUAACAGUUUAAUAAUGAAUUACAAUAAUUGUGUCGAGAGGAAGCCCUGACACAGACCAUAGCCUCAGAGCCCAGCUGAGUUAAAAUAGUACAGAGAGUGGAAAUAUAUAAUUUCAGACCGUUCUGGUUGCUUAUUUCUAAAGCUAAACGGAGAGCUUUUUAAAAUUACACGACCAGGGUCCGGGGCUGUGUAUUUCUCCUGUUGAUGAAAUCACUACUAUCAAAAUGGUGCGGCUCUUGUCCUGCUUCACAGCAAACAAUGUAAGCACAGCAGCCCAUUCCUUCCACCGAUAGCAAUAAUUCUUUGCACCGCUGAUUGAAACAAAUUACCCUGAAAACCACUUGGGUGGCUGGGCUUUUACAAAUAUUUUGUGCUACAAAUUUCGUAGUGUUGCAGUCAUUUCCUGAUGCAGGAAAAAAAAAAAAAAAGAAAAGAAAAGAAAAAGAGAGAAAAAAAUCCUAUUCAGAUUCCCACAGAAUCGCGUUUCUGUCAUUCAUCAAAAUCACUUCCCAGCCUGCUUCAUCUGUAGAUGGCCUAUUUGAUUCUCUCUCUUCACUUUGGCCCAGACUUCUGGUGGUAUUUGGAUGCUUGAGGAUAGGCGGAGGUGUUUUUAAUCCUCCAUAGCACCUAGGUGUCUUAUUCUCCUUGAUUUCAAUACUUUUAGGUUCUGGGAAAUCUCAAUACCUAUCUAGGCAACUCAAAUGAUACUUGUAAUAGCAAUAACAAUAAUGUAAUAAUAAUAAUAAAGGCACCGUGACAUCCACCUAUGUACUUUUAGAGGUUUCCUUUGGAUGAUUCUCAAAAUCCACACAUAAAAGCACCAUCUGCCCUGAGAUCUGUCCUGCAAGGCCAUUCACAGGUACUCAUCUGACCCAAAUGAGUCCACAGGUGAUUUCUUCAGAGAGGCAGGAGCCAGAUUUCCUUUUCUCCAAAAGGAAUUACUUCUAAGCACGACUCCUGCAGUCAGUGAGGACGCACCAGCACAGUUCCUGAUGGCAGUAUGUCACAGCACACCCCACAGCAGCCCUCCUGCCCCUGCCUGGGGGCUGUAGAGUGCCCAUUCGUGGGCAGCCCAUGCCUUUGACCCCUGUGAUGAGGCUGCUUCCAAGUUAGCCCACGGACACUUUGCCAUCACCACAGAGCGUCCCACAGCUCAGCUCCUGUAGCCACUGCCUGGGCAUUGUUUGUGCAGGAAGAAGCAUGUUGUGUGAUGGUAAGGAUAUUAAACAACCUGACAGCCAAAUUUCAAAGAGCGGCAGCAAAGACAGCAGUCAUUAAUACCACCCUAGAACAAGAAUUGGAAGAAAUUUCACUACGUAAAGGGCCAGGUGGCUUCACCAGCUCCUUCUGCAAUGAGACAAAUUUCACUUCCACCAUCAACUUUGCUAAGACUGCAGAAAGCAUAGCUCAGUGCAGCACCUGGAGUCAUCUAUUUGUAACCAAGGCUGGGUGUGAGCGAGUGCUCAGGUGACACAGAGCUGCUGAUGGAGGUGAGCGGUGCUUCCCAUCAACCCCUCAGCCCCAGGGUGGAAGUGCAAAGGCUCCUUGCCUGUCACAGCAGGGCAGCGUGCCUCAGCCCAUCACGUGCUAAGCUACCAAAACCACUGAACCAAGACUGACAGUGUCUAAGGUGAAAAAAAGACUGCCAGAGAAUUUAAUGCUCCUUAUACAUACAGAAUCCAAAGUAUCACUGGAAGUCCUGACAGAUACAAAACCAAAUCUGACCUGAAGCGGGAGGGCUACCCAGUAUAUGAGUGAGGGAGGCAGGUCAGAUGGCACACCAAAUGCCCAGUCAGAACACAGUUACCCUUAUUUUACACUUAUUUGUCCGUUUCUCCAGAAUGCAGGUAGAAUCACACAUGGUAAACGAAACUGGGAGAAAACUGAAGUGAGGAAGUCUGAGCUCAAGAGAGGCGCUAAGGGUGGUGCUGCCAAAAGUCACGCUCUCUUCCAUGUCACCUGCCUGCAAAAGGUACCCAUUGCCUCCUUGUUUCAUCAGUGCGUAUUCUUCUGGUAUAACACAGAACCUCGUUCCAGGCACCUGCAAAGUUCAGGCACUGUUCAGGACAGAACUGGGAAGCUGAGAGAGCUCUGUACUGUUCCAGACACGAUGAAAACCUGGCAGGAUUCGGCCUUCCUACUUUUGGCGGGGAGAGGGAGCGUGAGAGGGGAGGUGGAGGAAAGGGACUCUUGAAAAAUAUAUUUGUGUUUCCUGUUAAACUCGACUAUUUGGGUGUUCAAAUGAGUAUAACAGGAAAUCUAAAGAGAGGUAAUGCAUUCCUUGUUGCAACUGAUGCUUGAAGGCCAGGUCUACGUGGCUUUUCGGUAGGAAUUUUACGAAGAGUAAUUUGUAGUUGGUCAGGUAAUGAAAGAAGUAAAAAUUACCUAAAACUGCUGGGAAAUCACAAAUGGUGUAUGGGUACAUAGUUAGAUGAGAGCUACUGAACUGAGUUUCUGGAAUCGUCAUUACCCAAUUUGUAGCAGUAAAUAUCACCAUGUAAAUCCCAACCUUUCCUCAUCCUUCCCAGGGGGAACCAUGAAUACUUCUUAUCUGGCCCAUAUUUAGGAAGACAGUCUUAGAAAACAGAAGAAGGAAAAGUCAUCUGGCAGUGUAGGAGCCACAGAGGCUAGCUGGUGUUCUAGUCUGAUCACAAUUGCAACCCCAUUGGUAAUUUCAGUAUAGGGCAAUAUUUCCUCUCACUGCUUUUCCUCUGCCACGUUUCGGUAACAACAAGCAGUAAUUGAGCUCACAGGGUUAGCUACUUGAUAUUAAAACAACUCUGUAAAGUUUCACACUGUCAAAAUUCAGAAUUUUGCAGCUUUGCAAGGCCCAGUGGAUGGCCUGGCCGCUGUGAACCUUAAUCCAGAUUGCAAAUGCUCUCUUUGUUCUGGCUUUUCCGCUCCUACACCCAUAACACGUUACAUCCCACAGACAGCCAGUCAGCAAGCAUUGCUUCCAGCGUUGGAAAUGGUCUGUGGAAACGGGGGACCACCUCAACGAGGCAUCCUGCAGGAAGAGAAACACCUCCCAAAGGUGAGGGAAGAAAAUGCACUAGCAGAAGCCACACAACACAGGGGCAAAGCCCUCUGCCCAUGCUAGGCGUCACUGCCAAACAGAGCUCCUACAGAGCUCCUCAGUUGGUCACUAAGUAGCUGGGGAUAAGUGCAUCAAACUGAGAUGCUGUAAUGGGCAAAUGCUUAUACACAGAGAAUCUUAACCUCAUUUCACAUGUGACUUCAUCUUAGGUGACUUCACAAAUGCAAUUACUCUGCCACCUGCACAGCUCUGUAUGUUUUAUGUGCUCCUUUUACCCUCUAAAGCCUGAAAAACUAGUUAAUUUAUUAUUUUUCAUGAUCAGUCCCAGAUGGAUGAUGUCUGUCAGCAUUUACUGAUUUACAUAACAUUUAUCAUGUUCAAAGCUCUUUAUAAACACUAAGCAGUUGAUCUUCACACCACCCCUGUGCCCCAAGCAUUAGUACUUCCUUUUUACUGCCUGGAAAUUGUUAUGGAAAGUCAAAGCAAUCCUCACAGUAGUUAAGGUAACACCAGAACUCAGUACCUCCUCCAGCACAUCACACUUUCCUAAUUCAAACACAUCUACCACACCACCCUGCAAUAUUUCUUUUAUUUUUUAUUUUUUCCUUUCUGAUUUACCUAUAAAAAUCCCCUGCCCCACUCUGUCAGCUUUGCCUACUUUUUGGUCUCCAGUCCAGCUUAAGAGUCCAGUUCCCAAGGGGCUCACAAGUCAACUUCCAAAACGCUCCAAAAACAAAUCGGUACCACUUCUGUACGCUAAAAGACAUUGUAUCCCCCAGUGCCCAUCAAAUACAACUAAUGGCUUAAAAAAAAAAAAGACAUCUUUUUAAUUUAUUCUUUUAACGUGAGGUCCUCUAAAUUCCUUGUGAGUGCAGAACUGAGGUUCACUUAAAAUCAGGCCACAGCUGAGCUUUGGCAGAUUUUUAUUGUAAGCAAUUAAAUGGCUUAUAAACUAGAGGUAUUUCAGAACCAGCAUCGAUAACCAUUGGGAAGAAGUGAAACUCAGACUAGCUGCGUUCUUAGCUGCAGUGGAGCAUUCAGCAAUGUCAAACACCUUCCAAGCACAUACAAAGGGAAGUAGUUUGAUUUGUUAACAAUGAUGGCCUCACAUACAUAACUAUGGGCAAUGGAGGGUUUGAGUCACUUCUAGCUGCCAAAGGCAAGUGAGUAAGAAGAACUAGGUAGCAGUUAGACAAAAUUAGAAGCCUGCAACCCCUUCCUUGGGCAGUGUUUUUUCAUUCAACCUUGUCUAUAUUAGAGAAGAGCAGUGGUACGUGGCUUAAACUCUACUGGUACACCACCACCUUCCAGCCCCUCAGCACACAAAGGCUCUGUGAGCCUUCCUCUCAUUUGGGUCAUAACAUCAAUGCAAAAAACAAGACCACAAGAACUUAUCUUUACCUUUCUCCUCUUUAAAAACACUUCUCCCGUGGUGGUUUAACUGGCCUUAGUUCUAAUACUCCCUAGACUAAAUCCCCCCCCAACAUUCAGUGCAGCAAUUCGUAACUUACAGGUUUGCCUUCACACUCAGUGCAAGGAACAGCACGAAGGAAAAGGCAGGUACAUGAGAAUAAGAUAAACCACUGGUAAACUGGAGGAACUGGAACAAGCUAAAAGUGAAAUCUUUAGGAAAGCAAUUAGAGAUCUGCCACGUCAGCAUGAAGACACCUUGUUUGGCUCACCAGGAAGUGUAAUUUAGACCCUGGUUACCUCUGCUGAGGGUACAUCUGCUAAUGUUCUUCAGAAUUGCAGCAGGCCUCCCUGCUUUACAGCAACUAAAGAAAGGAGGAGGCACUGCUGCUAACUGCCUUUCCCUGGUAGCCAAGUAUAUAAGCUUCAGUGCCUCCAAUCAAGGCUGAUGAAAUCUGUCCUUCUCUGAAACGAGUGCAUUCCUCCAAGCCCCAUGGAGAAAGCAGUGGCGAGCAGAAGUGGGUUCUCCCUCCUUGCAGAAGAAAACAGCGAGUCGGUUCCAGCUUUUCUGAGCAAACCAUUGGUGGAUGCUGCUGCCAAAACUGGGAACUGAAAUGGCACACAGCCUGCCCUUCCCGCGGGACCAGGAGGAGCGUGGUCAUCAGUACAACUUUUCAAACAGAAGAGGGAGAUCCAUCAAUUUUGUGGUUGCAGCGUGUCCCAGGCAAAAUUUCGUUAUUGGUUUCAUCUGGAUUAGAAUUAACCGUUAAGGCUUCUCUACCUUACACUUCCUGAUCAUUUCUGCUCCCUUUUGCAAUAAAACAGAGCAAGGUUGUAAAUGGGCUGGAGGGAAUGGGGAAUACCCAAAGCCAGUUGGUAGGACCACCUGCUCAGGAGAGGAACUGACUUGAUAUUUGGUAUCACUAGGCUAGGCACCUUCCUUCUGACCAUGCGCUAUAGCAAAAUGGCAGGGAAUAUAAACUCGUGUGGCAUCAAAUUGUUUCAUCAACAUACAAAUAUUAACACCCACAUGUGUAUGAGGCAUUGCCCAUACCUUUGGGGUCUGUUUCCUCUAGGCGACUGUUGGCUAACCUGUAGGCGUCUCAGGGCUUCAUGCCAGUGGAAAAGAAUACAUACAAAAUGUUUCUUUAAGGCAUGGGUUUGUUCAGCUACCCACGUUUGAAGGGAAUGAGAGAAUACGAAUUAGGCAUCUAGGCUGCAGUGCUGAGAAGGGUGUUUUACUCCUGCCCAUGUAGCUUUUGGUCUCCAAAACCAUAAAAGAAGCCAUUAUAACGUGACAAAGGAAUGACUGGGUGGCAAGUGUUGUGCCUCAACGAUACCACUAUUAACAACUGAUAUCUUAUUGGUGAGGAGAGUUAAGCUAUUAACGGCUAAUUUACGCCUCUUUCUUCACUGUGUGACUCAAACCAGUUCUGCAGUCUGUUACAGGUUAACUAGCCAGGGUUAGGCAGGGCGGGGCCUGGAGCAGAUUGCAAAACUGGUUUAUUCAACUUGCAGAGUGAGGAAACAUCCUUAAAAAUAGCCAUUCUAGAGGAAGACAAGAUGCCUUCCUGUCAAUUUUUGGCACAUCGCGUAACAAAACAGAUCUUUAGGCCCCCUCAGCUUUUGUUACUGCACUGAGACACCGUGUGCGGGUCACACACAGACAGAAGCCACCCAGUAUUGUGCCACAGCUGAGCAGCGUGCCUUUAAUUUAGCCCGGGGCUAUGCUCAGAGGCACACCCUCACCUGCAGCCUCUCUCCUCAGCAAGUGUGUGCCAAGUGCAGCUGGUUAAUAGAUCACAGAUCAGAGCGACCAGCUGCUUCAAGCAUAUGGGGCGAUGGAGGAGGGGAGGCUACAAGGCCCUUCUGUGAACGUGUGAAAUGCAGGCCUGGAGGUCAACAGGUGAUUUCAAGUAAGGGAAGAGGUAGAAGAUGUCUGUACUGAGUACAGUAAAAGAGAAAGGGAGUGCAGUCUGCUCUCUCCAGCAGUUUUGUUCCUCCUGAGGGAGCAGGGUGAAAUGCAGGCGCUGAGAGCUUCCCUUGUGAGGUGGGCCUUGUGCAGCUUCACCUGGGCACGGGCGGUACCACGUGAGGCAGUGGCACAGGUGUAUCUGAAACCUCCUCCGAGGUUAAGCUGAGGAAGAUGGAGUACGGAAAGCAUUGGAAUAAACGAUUAAGUUCUAUUAAAAGCCUAUUGUGUACGUGCUAAAAUGCGACUGAUGGUUUCAGAAUCUCUUGCGCUCUCUUGUCAUCAAUGCACAAUUCUUUCUGAUUGCUUCCAGACAAUUCAGAUCUCGGCACUGAGCAAAAAUAUCAGAGAGGGAUGGAAUAUACGAUCUACUUUUCUUUAUGCAGUCUUUAUCAUCGUCAUUGUCCUUGGGAAUUUUCCCAGUUCUACAGUGACAGGAAGAUCAUCAGAAACUGAGAGCCUCACUUCAACUCACAUUAGUGGGCCCUUCAUGUUGUUCUGGCAAUACAAAAAGGCCUUCAAGUCAAACCUAAUUUGAAUCCCGCUUUAGCAAUCCUUUAUGUUGUCAUAGCAGUGUAAAUUUGUCCCUACGUAAAUGUAAUGCAGCCACAUUCUGAAUCUCUGCACUGUUACGUGGCAUUAGAAUGGCGAGACACCCAAGCUGACUAAAGGGAGACUGAGGAGCUUCCUGCACAGGAAGGUGUUGAGAAGUUGAGGCCAGCAUAUGGCAGGGUGGUCUGGGAGGAUUUGAUCCUGCCCCAGUGCAGGGUUAGACUGAGAGAUCUUAUGAGAUCCUUCGCACUUCUGCAGUUAAAAGGGGUUAUGUUUCCUCAAGAGACAAUUUAUUUGUGUCAGCCUGCAUAGUCCAGUCUUAUCCUCAGAUCACUGUUCCAUACUUUUGCAAAGGUUAUCAGUUUACCUACUGUAGUAGUGAAAAUUAAAAAAAACCACAUUCCUGAAAUUGACCCCUUUUCCAACAACAUAUUGAAGAAAAGCAAACAGAAGUAAAUUAUCUGUGGUAUCUCUAAGUUUGCAUCUUUUACAUUUGCUACAGCAUGAACAUGCGUUCCCACUUUGCUCUCCUAAGCUGAAUGGUGAACUAUGAUUCGCUUUCCAUCUUUACAUUCUCCCAAACUGUUUCAUGUCCUGAUUCCCUAGAAGGAAAGCUGGGUUUUUUGUUUGUUGUUUUUGUUUUCCCCUCAAAGACAUUGAUUUUAAAAUGAAGCUGCUGCCUUUGUUUCUGAGCACAGUAGACCCUAUUUGUUUUGCAGCAACAACUGUGGGGAAGGGACCUUCACGAGUCCUCCGCUGAAUCUCCAGAUUUAACAGCUACAGCAUCUAAAACCAAAAGCAAAGUUUCCAUCAAGUGUUCAUCCACAGCCCUCCUGUCCCUUCUCCGUGGAAGUGGACUGUUUCAAACCCGAGUUUUUUAAAUGUCAUGAUGCUGCCUUAGAGAAGAGGCAUUGGAACACUCGCACUGGUGGUACUCAAACAAGCUGUCCUCCCCUGCAGGCUCAGUUACCUCUACAGGCCGGUGUAGCCCUGCUCCCGGUUUUCAGUGAUUAAAAAAGACAUUUCAUUUUGCGUGUGCAUUACUGUCAGCUUUUUGCAGUGCCACAUUUGUGACAGAGGCAACAGCCCCAAAGGAGCUGGACUUGAGCUAGCAUUUCCCUUUGGUAGAGUCAAUGAAGCAGCCGUCGGUCAGAGCUGCGGUCUGGGUGAGUAGUAUAACGAGGGCUGCAGUCCAUAAUUUUGCACUGCGUAUUUCCUCCCUAUGGAGUUGCAUGGCUGGUUUAUUGAAAUCACACACAAAGAGGUCUUAGUGCACUUCUUAGCAGAUUCUAUCAGAAAAAAAAAAAAAAAAAAGAAAGAAAGAAAAAAACUCAGCCUAAUUGUGAAAUAUGCUAGUGGGACCUGCAGAAACCUGGGCUAUACUCCUGGCUUCUGUGACCAUUUGGAGAACUGGCUUGAAAAAAGUCUUUUAACCCUUCUGUGUUUCAAUUUCUCUCACCUGUAGAAGAGAGAUGCACACCCUCCAUGCUAAUGCUUUAUGCUGGUGUGUGCUGAGCACAUUCUGGGAGCAAGGCUAGGCAGGCCUGUCCUGCUGCUGACCUCCAACACCUGCUCUGGAGGAGCUUCAGCUCCUGUGGCGGCCAACACAGGACCUUUCCCAGCACUCUAUUCACUAAACAAACACGUCUUUUUAUUAUGAUGUUGUUAUUGCGGUUAGUUGACAGAAACCCCAUAAAACUUGAUGUAAAAAUAAUGAAAGCAUUUAAUAUUACAAAAAAAAAAAAAAUGUUGAUACUAAGCACCAAGUUGGCAUGACUAACAUCGUAACAUCGAACACAGCAAAUCUACCAACGCUCCUUCUGCUCACCGAGAGGCUUAGGCCACUGUGGACAGACUCCGUGGGUCCGGACAUCCUCUCGCCACACGCCUCCCUCAGCAGGGCCCUUCUGCUGUUGCUGAAACUACUUCACAAGCUUUAAGCAUGGCUCUGGGCUGUGCUGCUCAACCCUAAUCCAGAAGUCGCAUUCGUUGCGGCAAAGGACUCUUUCCUUCCUGCCACUGCUUCGUGCUCUGGAUCACAAGAAAACCCUUCCGUCCCCACCCUCUGCCCUCAUAAUGGCUGCAUCUCUUUGUUUGACACGAGCCAUUCUGCAAGCUGAACUUCUCAUUUUUAAAAUGCUGCUCUGCAGGCCGGUCAUUAGAGUUGGUCUGCACUUACUCCCUACCUUGGGUUGAUCUUUCAUAACGUGUUAAACACUUUUUGAAAGUUUGGCAUUUCUGUGGGGGAAAUACAAAUUUGCAUUUGAGAUACUUUAAAAUAAAUAUUUAGGAAAAAUAUAAACGUUAGCAAAGUUUUGUUUAUCUUAGUUUUUAUGGCUCCACUGAAUGUCAGAACAGCUGUAUUGACUGCAUAAAAUAUAUUUUCUGGAGUUAGAAAUAUAUAGCCAUCUGUUCAGCUCGUAACAUGUGUUAAUAGGUAUCUCAAAUUUCAAUUCAAGAAAUAGCAAUCUUAAUAAAUAACGUAACAGCAGGAAACCUGGGUUAACUAACAGGGACCUGGCCGUAAUGGUGCUACAUCUGUGUGAGUUAGUCAUUACAGAAAUAUUCAGGUACAAAGUUCUCGGUUUAAGUGGGACCUUUAGCUAAGAAGCAUUUGUCUCGAACUGUCAGGAAAUGCAGUUUUCUAUGACAAAGACAUUCCCAAAGAUUUCCACCUGGCACUGACACCUGGAGACAUUUUACAGAAAUGAGAGUUCUUUACUAACCACGUGCACACCCAGACCUCAUGGAUUUCUCCUAUGGGCUUGGUGUGCCAGAGGUGACCCUUGCAGAUAAGUUCAGACCAGCCUGGCUUUGAAGUUCAAGCCACUACCUCUAGAGAAGGAAAACCAUCCACGCAAAAUGCCUGAGUUAAGAUCACCAUUAAAUUACUCUCCAGUUGUACAGCCCUUGUAGGACAAUAACCUAUUUAAGUGGUCUCACUGCAGGAUAAUGGUCAGCUCUGAAUUUAACCUGAAAGGUGAGCUACUACUGGACAACAGUGCCCUAUUAUGCUUAUGCAGAAAGUAAAGCGAAUUACAAAAUAAAGUAUGAUCUUUACAUUUCCUUUCUGCUCCAAAAGGCUCUUCUAUUUAUUCAUUUAUUUCUCCUGCACAGUAAUUAACAGUGUGAAGGCCUGUAACUCCGGGUCUUUGGUUGCCAAGAUGAAAAUGUCACUUUCAAGCAGAUGGUACUGCUGAUGCGGAAGGUUACAGACUUGGAAAUUUAUUUAAGCAACCCAAAACAAAAUCAAGGGAUUGACAGAAAUAUUACCUUUGAUUAUUCAAAAGAGAGAUGAAGAAACAAGACCAAAAAAAAAAAAGAGAAAAAAAAGGAAAACCUGUUUUUCCUUUGAUUAUCUAUAGAAAAUGCAUUCACAAGAACUAGAGGGAAACAUAAUCUACUAAAUGAAAUCAUGGCUUGGAACUGUACAGAUGAGGAUCUUAUCUGAGUGUGGGAAACCACCGAAGACAUAGCACUGCCAUAAUUAAUGGUCUUUGUGUCAUUUUCCAGUGCAGGGACACGUUCCACUCCGCCACCAACUAAGUGGAUGCUGGAGGGAGCUAAGUCAGCCCCAGCUGAACCCCUGGUUUGACUCUGCAUAUUAAGACUAGGAAGCACAGACACCUCUUGACAACUUUCUUUCCCCAUCUCCAGCUAUCUUCCAGUUACAGGGACAGACGUUACACUAGAGAAACUGUAAGACAAGUUUCACAUCUCUCUCUCUAUAGAUAUACAAUGCUAUAUAAACAACGGAGAAGUUACAAGAAUAUGACUUUAUGAUUUCAUAAAGUACUAAUUAGUGGGUAAUGGAGAAUUAUACAAUUUACAAACGAGCAGUCAAUUGCUAUGCCAAACAACUGGCAUCAGAAACUGUAGUCAUAAAUGUUCUGGGUAAGAGCACACUUCAUAGGACCCUUUCACAGGCUGUGCAGUCUCUGUCACGGGAACAAUUCAGUGCUUACUUUGUUGUGCUAAAUACAGAAGGGCCUGGAAGAUCGGCGAUCUCUAUUCACUUCUGUGACAUAAGGUUCCAUCCAGCCUUUGCUAUUCAUUAAUCACUUCCGUCCCUUAAAUUUUUGGCUCUUAUGGCUGUGGGCAAAAUGCAAUUCUAACAUGUUUUGAAACAGCAAGGUCUUCCUGAACCGUGGAGAGCCUGGUGAGGUGUUUGUGAGUAUGGACUGACCUACUCAUACUAAUCAGUACUUUCACUGGUCUCGCAGUCAUGGAACCGAUCAUUUUUAAACAACACACUGGAGUUCAUUGAAUUUUUCACAUGGGCUUUGCCACAGACAGAGGAUAUUUUACUUUGUCUCUGUACUCUGCUGGAAUCUCUCAGCAGCUGUUUCUGUCCCAGCGCCCUUUCCUGCAAGCAGGAAAUCUGGGAUUACGGAACACCACUCCCACUCUCUCUGUUCAGUCAGGCAGCUGCAUAACACACCUCUGGCUCAGCCCCUGCUGGUGUGGCCAUGCUGAAGUCACACCAGUAAUCUGGAACCCACACCAAAGUUACAUCCCCCGGCACACACACUUUGCCUCUGUUUCCCUAAGCUUGUUUAU
rnacentral:lncRNA from 1 species